rnacentral:rRNA from 1 species
GAUGAACGCUGGCGGCGUGCCUAAUACAUGCAAGUCGAGCGAACAGACGAGGAGCUUGCUCCUAUGACGUUAGCGGCGGACGGGUGAGUAACACGUGGAUAACCUACCUAUAAGACUGGGAUAACUUCGGGAAACCGGAGCUAAUACCGGGUAAUAUAUUGAACCGCAUGGUUCAAUAGUGAAAGACGGUUUUGCUGUCACUUAUAGAUGGAUCCGCGCCGCAUUAGCUAGUUGGUAAGGUAACGGCUUACCAAGGCAACGAUGCGUAGCCGACCUGAGAGGGUGAUCGGCCACACUGGAACUGAGACACGGUCCAGACUCCUACGGGAGGCAGCAGUAGGGAAUCUUCCGCAAUGGGCGAAAGCCUGACGGAGCAACGCCGCGUGAGUGAUGAAGGUCUUCGGAUCGUAAAACUCUGUUAUUAGGGAAGAACAAAUGUGUAAGUAACUAUGCACGUCUUGACGGUACCUAAUCAGAAAGCCACGGCUAACUACGUG